UGCAGAGAGGAAUAAAUAAAAGUACAAAAGGGACAAACGGAGCGACCAUUGUUGGAUGUCAACCAGUGGUGAGAGUGGGAGUGUCGGGCUUUGGCUCAAAUGAGGCUUCAGCUCAGAAGAGGUAUUAGCCCUGGGUAAACUGGGCCACGAACUUAUCAAUCACCCCUGCUGUGGAUACUCCCUAGAGGUCCAAGAUCCAUAUGCUCCACAACCGCUGGACCAGAAACCUUGCUGGAAGCUUCAGCUCUUAUUGUAAAUUGCAAGCAAUAACCAGUCUGAAGUUAAAAGAAUAUCUUUGCAAAUGAACAGCACUGUCUCUAGAGCACAGACUGCUGGCCCACAGCUCAGCAAUGGCUGCUGAAAAGGUGUUUUGCAGUGAGGAACACAAUGCUGAAGAUGGCAAAACCAGGCAAUGAAUCUGAGCAACUUCUUACUCUUUGCUUCAACAUUACCGAAGGUCCAGUUACUCUUGCCAGUGAGUACGCUCACAUGCUGUGCACUACAUCUGAGGCAAAGGAUGAGUUUCAUCAGAACCUUGUGGCUACCACCGUGAAUACUCCCAGCAAGGAAUAUAAUGUUCUCCUGGAUGACUUCAAUGCCAGAGAGGGGGCAGAUCAUGACUCAUGGCCCUCCUGCCUAGGUCACUUUGGACUUGGCAAGAUGAACAAGAGUGGACCGUAAUUGCUAGAGCUCUGCACCUAUCAUAAUCUAUUAUCACCAACUCAUACAUCCAGAGCAAGUUUGAAGCCAGCAAGGUGCCUCAUCCAGACCUGUUGGAGCAAUUUGUCAAGUCCUUGGAGAAAGAACUGAGCACCCAGCAAUCUGGAAAUUCUGUCACAGAGAAAUGGAAACUUCUGCUUAAUACUAUCUACUGCAAAGCCUUAGCUCCCUUUGCGAAGAAGACCUCAAUUUGCUCUAAGCCCAAUCCCAUGAGAUGAUCCCUGGCAAAGAAGCCAAAUUAUGUUGCCCUAGCUGAGCAUAAGCAUUCACCAAUAGAGAGGAACAUACUGAUCCUCAAGGUUGCUAGAAGUUCAAUAGAGGAAGAAGGCUGCAAGUGAACAGCUAAGGGUUUCCAGAGCGAAGGCAGUUUUACUACUCAGGGUAAAAGUGAGGAAAGGCUGUGCAGGUGCGUGACGUCAGCCAGUAGAGCGGGAAAAGUUUAAAAAAAAGACCGCCAUAUCCAGAGGGCAGCUUGGCCUAAGGGAAGGCACCAGGCAAUGAUGGGAUUCUCACAAACCUGAUCAAGCACUGCAUGACUACUCUACUGCACUGUCUAAAGUCCUCAUCUGUGCUGGCAGGAAGGAGCUGUACCACAGGAUAUCAGGGAUGCCAAGAUCAUUACCCUCUGCAAAAACAAAGGUGACAGAAGUGACUAAAACAAUGGCAGAGUCACUUCCUCUUUGAAUGUUGUUGGCAAAGUCUUUGCCCAAGUCUU